GACGGAGGGGGCAAGCGUUUUCCGGACUCACUGGGCGUAAAGGGCGCGCAGGCGGUAGCGUGCGUCGGUGCUGAAAGCGCCCCGCUUAACGGGGCGAGGCGUGCCGAUACGACGCAACUGGAGGCAGGCAGAGGGUGGCGGAAUUCCGGGUGUAGUGGUGAAAUGCGUAGAGAUCCGGAGGAACGCCGGUGGCGCAAGCGGCCACCUGGGCCUGACCUGACGCUGAGGCGCGAAAGCGUGGGGAGCGAACCGG
rnacentral:rRNA from 1 species